GUGAGGAAUUUUGCGCAAUGGGGGAAACCCUGACGCAGCGACGCCGCGUGGAGGAUGACGGCCUUCGGGUUGUAAACUCCUGUCAGAGGUGAAGAAUGCCCGCAAGGGUUUGACGGUAACCUCAGAGGAAGCCCCGGCUAACUACGUGCCAGCAGCCGCGGUAAUACGUAGGGGGCGAGCGUUGCUCGGAAUUACUGGGCGUAAAGGGUGUGUAGGUGGCUGAAUAAGUCAAAGAUGAAAUCCCGAGGCUUAACUUCGGAAUUGUUUUUGAUACUGUUCAGCUUGAGGUUAGUUGAGGAGAGCGGAAUUCCCGGUGGAGCGGUGAAAUGCGUAGAUAUCGGGAGGAACACCUGAGGCGUAGGCGGUUCUCUACACUAAUCCUGACACUGAGACACGAAAGCUAGGGGAGCAAACGGGAUUAGAAACCCGAGUAGUCC
rnacentral:rRNA from 1 species